GUCGGUAAAACUCGUGCCAGCCACCGCGGUUAUACGAGAGGUCCAAGUAGAUAGUCAACGGCGUAAAGAGUGGUUAGAAGAGACCCAUUACUAAAGCCGAACGCCCUCAAAGCUGUUAUACGCACCCGAGGGUGAGAAGCUCAUCCACGAAAGUGGCUUUACAACUUUGAAUCCACGAAAGCUAUGGCACAAACUGGGAUUAGAUACCCCACUAUG
rnacentral:rRNA from 1 species